UACGAAGGGGGCUAGCGUUGUUCGGAAUUACUGGGCGUAAAGCGCACGUAGGCGGAUCGUUAAGUCAGGGGUGAAAUCCUGGAGCUCAACUCCAGAACUGCCUUUGAUACUGGCGACCUUGAGUUCGGGAGAGGUGAGUGGAACUGCGAGUGUAGAGGUGAAAUUCGUAGAUAUUCGCAAGAACACCAGUGGCGAAGGCGGCUCACUGGCCCGAUACUGACGCUGAGGUGCGAAAGCGUGGGGAGCAAACAGGG
rnacentral:rRNA from 1 species